rnacentral:lncRNA from 10 species
GGCGUGCCUCUCAACAUCCAGCAGAAUGUGGGAAUGAAAGGACUAGAGGUCACUUCCUUAUGCUGUGGCCCAGGAGAAACUCAUAUGACUUCUGCAUACAUUUCACUGGCUAUGACUAGUCACAUAGUCAUACCUAACUGCAAGAGACCUGGGGAGUGGAGACUUCCUGAGUGACAGGAGGAGAGAAGGGUAUAGGUUUCAUGGCAUGAUAUGGCUCAAUCCACAGACAAAGGCUGCUGAGCCCAGAACAGCUUAUUGGACGAGCCCCUAUGAGAAGCAGAAAUGUAUAGAAGCAAACUGAACCCAAGGAAAGAUUGGUGAUACUUUGGGAGGGAUGACAGAGGAAGGGGAAACACACUGUCCAUCCCUGUCCCAGCAAGGAGCCAGCUCCCAUUCGGCAGUCCCUCUGAACAUCUAGGUAGCUUCCCCCUUCUUUCUGUCCAGUUG